GUGAAGACAGGGUACAGGGCAGAAUGAACCAAUGUUACAGUACCAUGGAAUCUGGUCUCAGCUCUUCCUCCACCCUUCUCUCAGACCAUGGAGGGCAGUUUGUUGGGUGUGGUGACACAGAAUCUAUCUGUGAGGACUGAUCAAUGAUUCCUAUUUCAGAGACAGGAAAGCGAUCAGAGAUGCAAUGAUACAGAGUGGAGUCCACUGGCUCAGACAAAGAGAAAGUCUACUUUGAGCCCCGAAGCCAGCACAGGGCUAUGCCAUAGGUGGGCAGGCACUGGGAAGGAGCUCUCACCUGUGAUUAAACUGGAGAUGAUG
rnacentral:lncRNA from 1 species